rnacentral:miRNA from 1 species
GCGUGCAAGCAGGAGGGGGCAGGAAUCUCUGUUAGGCAUCAGGAAGCCUCCCUUCCCAGCUGAGGGAUCCCCACCCCCUCCUGCUUGCAUGCAAGUAGGAAUGGGAUUGGGGCUGCUCCGAUGGGAAGAGAGGCAUCACGCUGCCUAAGAGAUCCCUGCCCCCUCCUGCUUGCACGC